GAGCAGCUGCAGGGAAGGAGGCUGAUGAGUUGGGGAAGUUUGGGUGGGGUAGGGGAGGCAGGCAGGCAAGGACACUGACAUUUCAACAGCUGCUUUGUGGUCGCGAGGGGGCCCGGAGGCCAGCGGAUGCAUUGGUGUGCUAAUAGAUACCACGGAUUGUUAUUUGUGCCUUUUGGAACUUGGGAAAAUGGAGUUUCUUUUGGACCUGUCAAGCAUCUGGCCCCUCAAGAAUUCUGUCCUUACUUAAGCUGUAAUGUGAAGUCUUCAGUUUUAGUCCAUCUCUUUAAAUUGAUUGCAAGGGCUUAACCGAAGAGAUUGACCCCCGUGGGUUUUCUAAGGAGGUUUCAGCCUUGGCUCUGCUGAGCGAACUGAGUUUGCUUCUUGUCAGGAAGUCUCUGCUUCCUCCUACAUCUCACAGGCUGUCACCCCUGAGCUAGUCAAGCCUGAGCUCGCGGCUCCACACCUCCCUCCAUGUCUCAUCGUUAUUAAAUCAAAGCACCUUUUGACUUGAAGCAGCCAGGCUAUUUCUGCCUCCUUCCACCCUGAACUGUCUCCAGUGAGAGAGGAAACUUUGUGAGAGUUGAGUUUCAGAUAGUCUCAAGAUCUGGAUUUAAUGUGGUAUCAGGGAGUUUGGGAAACAAGCCCACGAUCCAAGGGGAAGGCAGGUAGGUCUGUAACUAAGACAUGAAAAACACAAGAAGCUGGAAUGAGGUUUCUGUUUGAAACCAGCCACUCUCUAUUGCAGUGCAAUGACACAGGAAGACCCUCCACUCCCUAUGUUCAUAUACGUGUAUAAGUUAUUUACACUCUCAACAGUAGGGGAGUCAGCAGUUAGGUAGGAAUGACAGGGGAAACCUGAACAGGGGAAACCUAUUGUCUGGAUCUAUUCAUACUCUGUCUGCAUGGAAAGUUUCAAAUUGAGAGCUUUGAGAAAUGGCCUCAGGGGACACAUCAAGUCUACAGUUGUCAGUUCCCACAGAGACCAGAAGAGGGCGACAUACUCCUCAGAACUGGACUUACAGAUGGUUGUGAGACACCAUGUGGGUACUGGAAACUGAACCGUGUGACCUCUGGAAGAACAGCCAGUGCUCUUACCUAGUGGACUAUCUCUCCAGCCUCUAGAUAUUUCUUUUCUAAAUAUUUAUUUAGUGAUGUUCAUUUCCCUUUAAACUUCGCUGUUACUGAUUCCCACACAUUUGGAUGAGUUGUGUUUUUAUUUAGUGCAAAAUGCUUAUUUUAAAUUUCUUUUCUCCUUGCUGUUAUGUGUUACAGAAUUUAAUCUGCACACAUGAGGGGUACUCAGGUCCCUUUCUGUCAUUGAUGGUUAGUCCAGCUUCACCUUAGUCUGAGAGAGACAGUGAGUGUGUUCCAAAGUCUUUUAUUCUCGAAGAUCUUCUUGUGGCUCAGAACACUUUGUCAAGUGUUCAAUUUGAACUCCUGAGCUAUGUGCAGUAUGCUGUUCGAUGAAUUCGACUCUAGUUAUCGACUGAUCCAGUUGAUUGAUGGUGCAGCUGAACUCAUUUUUAACUAAUGUCUUUGUGUGUGUGUGUAAGCCUUUUAGUGUGUCCUAUAUUUUUUUCUUGAAAGCGGGAUAUCCUGCAUUGUCCGUAGGUGUGGAGAAAUGCAGUGGCAAGGAGUGGUCGGGAAGCCGGAGCUCUCAGGCUGGGAGAAACCGAGGUUCCUGCAGCAUCGCUCUCCCUGCCGGCCCCUCGGCUAGGAUAAGUCGGCCAUCACUGGAAAGAGAGGCCCAUUGGACUUGCAAACUUUAUAUGCCCCAGGACAGGGGAAGGCCAGGGCCAAAAAGUGGGAGUGGGUGGGUAGGGGAGUUGGGUGGGGGGAGUGUAUUGGGGACUUUUUGGAUAGCAUUGGAAAUGUAAAUGAGGAAAAUACCUAAUAAAAAAAUUAAUUCUAAAAACAAAACAAAACAAAACAAAAC
rnacentral:lncRNA from 1 species